AGUCCUCGUGUUGCAUCC
rnacentral:snRNA from 1 species